CGGAUGCCCACACCCACCCUGUCACGACCCCUGGUGGAGGUCAGGCCGAACUUCUUGAUGGAGUAGAUGCCCAUGAUGGUGACCCUGUUCCCGGGGACCACUUUGUCACACAGGUACCUGAGGUGGAGGGAGAACCAAAGCACCGUGAGCUAACAGACGCCAAGGCUUGUCACAGCCCCAUGAAGGAGCUUCACCCUCCAGUGAGCACCCUCGUCUGGGAAGAGCAGACCCACACCCAAGGCCACCUCACCUCUCCCAGGUUACAGGUCGCCUUCUGCACAGUGUGGCCCGUGCGGAUCACAGGGAAGCCUGUGGGCGGCGCCACGCGUGCAGCACGCGCUCUGCAGGGAGCCAUCCCCCGCCCCGCCCCGCCCCGCCCCGGCCCCUCACCUGUCGCAGUACAGCUGCAUGUGUCUGGGCAUCUCGCCGUGCGGCACCGCGUCAGGCAGCUCCUGCAGCUUCAGCGUCUGGAAGUCCACGCACUUGCACUUGUCGGGCAUGAUGAAGUAGGGGUCCAGCGGGCAACUGGGGCGCCCAGCCUGAUCCCUGAGCCAGAGGACGCAGAGUCAGCAGAGCCACCCGAGAACCCGCCCAUCGCAGUCACCACCAAGACGUGGGAGGCAGCAGCUGGAGGAAUGUCACGGAGGAACCGGGGCAGGCAGCUCGGAGGUGGGCGCAAACGCUGGGGUCUUGAAGGGGAACCAGGAGUGCGCACCAACACAAGACGGGUCGGGGAGACCUGAGGGCAAGGCACCCCAGGAACGGCAGGGUCAAAGGCCCUCAGAGCUGUGUGGCUCAGCAAGUUCUAGCUUUCUUCAGAAGAUGCUGGACAGACUCAUUUCCCACCAACCCUAGGUUCUCCACACAAGGGUGAGCAUCCUCGUGGGGCAGAAGUCACCAAGGCACAGAGACACCAAGCCCAGCUCAUGACCCUGAACCCCAGGGAGCCCAGCCCUGCCCCUGGCCAUCCCAGCGAGUCUCUAACAAGGAGCUGCAGGUGCCGUUCAACGCCCGCGCUCAGCCUUGCUCACCUCCCCAACACGCCUGCAGCUGCACACUCACGUGUUGCACUUCCGGGGCAGGGCAUAGCCCUCGAGGCCAGGGCGCAUGGCGAUGUUGUUGAGGGUGUUGCGGCAGCUCCGGCACUGGAUGGAGAUGCGGGUGGCCUUGGCGCGGACCGCUGAAGCCGCAAUGAUGAUGCCGGGGAUCUUCACCAGGUGUGACAUCAUGUCCGACUGGAACAGAGCCACCAGCAGGUUCGUUGGUUAAGGGCGUGGGGGAAUGACCCAGGCAGGGGCCUGGCCGAGGUGGUGCAGACCCACAAGGAGGGCCACAGCUCUUCUGUUCAGCACAAAAAUUGCUUCCCGGGGGCCGGCACGGUGGCACAGCAGGUAAAGCCACCGCCUGCAGUGCCAGCAUCCCAUAUGGGCACCGGUUCGAGACCCGGCUGCUCCACUUCCGAUCCAGCUCUCUGCUAUGGCCUGGGAAAGCAGUAGAGGAUGGCCCAAGUCCUUGGGCCCCUGCACCCACGUGGGAGACCUGGAAGAAGCUCCUGGCUCCUGGCUUCAGACUGGCCCAGCUCCAGCCACUGCAGUCAUUUGGGGAGUGAACCAGCAAAUGAAAGACCCCUCUCUCUCUUUCUGCCUCUCUAACUUUGCCGUUCAAAUAAAUCUAAAAAAAAAAAUUAAAUUAAAAUUUAAAAAAAGCCCACAUC